rnacentral:rRNA from 1 species
UGGGGAAUAUGGGCAAUGGAGGCAACUCUGACCCAGCAACGCCGCGUGAAGGAAGAAGGUUUUCGGAUUGUAAACUUCUGUCGCGAGGGACGAAGAAUGACGGUACCUCGUAAGAAAGCCCCGGCUAACUACGUGCCAGCAGCCGCGGUAAUACGUAGGGGGCAAGCGUUGUCCGGAAUGACUGGGCGUAAAGGGAGUGUAGGCGGCUUAGCAAGUCAGAUGUGAAAGCCCGCGGCUUAACCGCGGAACUGCAUCUGAAACUGUUAGGCUUGAGUGCAGGAGAGGUAAGUGGAAUUCCUAGUGUAGCGGUGGAAUGCGUAGAUAUUAGGAGGAACACCAGAGGCGAAGGCGACUUACUGGACUGUAACUGACGCUGAGGCUCGAAAGCGUGGGGAGC